rnacentral:rRNA from 1 species
AGCCAUGCAUGUCUAAGUAUGAACGAGAUUAUACAGUGAGACUGCGGAUGGCUCAUUAAAUCAGUUAUAGUUUAUUUGAUGGUUCCUUUUUCUUUUCCACUACUUGGAUAACCGUAGUAAUCCUGCCAACAACCCCGACUAAGGGGUGGGAGGAGGGGAGGGGCAACUCUUCUCUUCUCUCACGCUCACCCUUCGGAAGGGGCGUAUUUAUUAGAUAAAAAACCGACGCAGGGCUCGUCCCUGGACCUUCGGUGAGUCACGGUAACUCGAUCGGAUCGCAUCAAAACAACUCUUUCCUUCGGGGGAGGGUUGGCGACGAUUCAUUCAAAUUCCUGCCCUAUCAACUCUCGAUGGUAGGAUAGAGGCCUACCAUGGUCGCAACGGGUAACGGGGAAUUAGGGUUCGAUUCCGGAGAGGGAGCCUGA